rnacentral:tRNA from 1 species
UCCCGGAUAGUAAAAUCGGUAUAACAUCGCGCUGUUAACGCGAAGUUCCAGGUUCGAGUCCUGGUCUGGGAG